rnacentral:rRNA from 1 species
UACGAAGGGGGCUAGCGUUGUUCGGAAUUACUGGGCGUAAAGCGCGCGCAGGCGGUCUUCCAAGUCAGUGGUGAAAGCCCGGAGCUCAACUCCGGAACUGCCAUUGAAACUGUUGGACUUGAGUAUGAGAGAGGUGAGUGGAAUUCCCAGUGUAGAGGUGAAAUUCGUAGAUAUUCGCAAGAACACCAGUGGCGAAGGCGGCUCACUGGCCCGGAACUGACGCUGAGACGCGAAAGCGUGGGGAGCAAACAGG